CCUACGGGAGGCAGCAGUGGGGAAUAUUGGACAAUGGGCGCAAGCCUGAUCCAGCCAUGCCGCGUGAGUGAUGAAGGCCCUAGGGUUGUAAAGCUCUUUCACCGGAGAAGAUAAUGACGGUAUCCGGAGAAGAAGCCCCGGCUAACUUCGUGCCAGCAGCCGCGGUAAUACGAAGGGGGCUAGCGUUGUUCGGAAUUACUGGGCGUAAAGCGCACGUAGGCGGAUCGAUCAGUCAGGGGUGAAAUCCCAGGGCUCAACCCUGGAACUGCCUUUGAUACUGUCGAUCUGGAGUAUGGAAGAGGUGAGUGGAAUUCCGAGUGUAGAGGUGAAAUUCGUAGAUAUUCGGAGGAACACCAGUGGCGAAGGCGGCUCACUGGUCCAUUACUGACGCUGAGGUGCGAAAGCGUGGGGAGCAAACAGGAUUAGAUACCCUUGUAGUC
rnacentral:rRNA from 1 species